UACAGAGGUCUCAAGCGUUGUUCGGAUUCAUUGGGCGUAAAGGGUGCGUAGGCGGCGCGGUAAGUCGGGUGUGAAAUCUUGGAGCUUAACUCCGAAACUGCAUUCGAUACUGCCGUGCUUGAGGACUGGAGAGGAGUCUGGAAUUCCUGGUGUAGCGGUGAAAUGCGCAGAUAUCAGGAGGAACACCGGUGGCGAAGGCGGGUCUCUGGGCCGUAACUGACGCUGAGACGCGAAAGCGUGGGGAGCGAACAGG
rnacentral:rRNA from 1 species